rnacentral:misc_RNA from 1 species
AACAAGGCGUACCUGCGGACCUGCGGAGGGAUCAUUACAAGUGACCCCGGUCUAACCACCGGGAUGUUCAUAACCCUUUGUUGUCCGACUCUGUUGCCUCCGGGGCGACCCUGCCUUCGGGCGGGGGCUCCGGGUGGACACUUCAAACUCUUGCGUAACUUUGCAGUCUGAGUAAACUUAAUCAAUAAAUUAAAACUUUUAACAACGGAUCU